UAUGAAGGUUUGAGGGCGAAUUGCUUGUUAAUCCAGUCAGGUCUGAAAAGAAGCAGCUGUACCAAGUUUGUUCGGGUCUUGAACCUUCUUUGUA
rnacentral:SRP_RNA from 2 species